AAUGAACGUUGGCGGCAUGGAUUAGGCAUGCAAGUCGAGCGAGAAGGUUAUGAUUGACGCUUCGGUUGAUUUCAUGACUGGACAGCGGCGCAAGGGUGAGUAACGCGUAGUUAUCUGCCCGAGGGUUCGGGAUAGCCACGGGAAACUGUGGGUAAUACCGAAUAACAUCUCCGGAUCAAAGGUGUAAUUCCGCCCUCGGAGGGGACUGCGUUCUACUAGCUUGUUGGUGGGGUAAUGGCCUACCAAGGCUUUGAUGGAUAGCGGGCGUGAGAGCGUGGCCCGUCACACUGGGACUGAGACACUGCCCAGACACCUACGGGUGGCUGCAGUCGAGAAUCUUCGGCAAUGGGCGAAAGCCUGACCGAGCAAUGCCGCGUGCGGGAUGAAGGCCCUCGGGUUGUAAACCGCGAAAGUGAGGAGGAAGGGCCCGUGAAGAGCGGGUCUUGACCGAUACACAGUAAGGACGGGCUAAGUUCG
rnacentral:rRNA from 1 species